AUUCAUUCACUCCUAUACUAAUAAUUAAUUAAUUAUUAUUGUUUAUUAUACUAUUAACGAUAAGCCUUCCGAAUCAUUUCAUAUUUUAUUUCUUAAUAUCCAUAUUCCAAAACAAACAACAGUGAACAUGGUAAUUAUGCUUAGCUAAAAAUGCGAUUUUUGUUCUCUAGCCUUUUGUUUCCAUUAUUCUGUGUUCUCAAUCUCCGUUUCACACACUCUUUGGUUUUAUCAGUUCCGCUCUUUCUUUUUUUCCUUCUCUUCAUCAUCCUCGUGACUCUUUCAAUACAAUACUUUUUUUUGUGAGAUCUCUUCAAUUGCAUUUAGUUACUUUUGAGAUGCCUUGGAACCUUCGGAACUCAAUCAGGGCUGGUUCUGAUUUACUUGAUUAACCUUUUGACUGGGAGAAACAAAGAAUGGAGGGUGACACAUUCUCUGGGCUUGGCAAUGGUACUCAAAUUGAUAGCAAGAUUUUGCAGUCAUUUCAGAAGAGCUUUGUUCAAGUGCAGAACAUCUUGGAUCAGAACAGGGUUCUCAUCAAUGAGAUAAACCAGAAUCAUGAGUCCAAGGUGCCUGACAACCUAAGCAGGAACGUUGGCCUUAUUAGGGAGCUCAACAACAACAUAAGAAGAGUGGUUGACCUCUAUGCUGAUCUUUCAAGCAACUUUACCAAAUCCAUGGAAGUUUCUUCUGAAGGGGAUUCCAGUGGUGCUGUGAAAUCAGAUGGUAAAGCCACCCAAAAGCGACACAGGCCUACUUAGGCACCUUAUUUUCUUUUUCUUUUUCUUCUAUGUUUUCUUUCUUGCUUGGUGGAGUAGUAGAACAACAUUAGGCUGAAGCUCAUCAUCACUUCUUACAACUCAAAAUAUGAAAAAAAAAAAAAAAAAGAAGAAUGAUUUUCCAGAAUUCCUCCCAUAACUUGGUAACUGUUGAUCUUAUAGAAAUCGACCAUGUGUGUGUUACUAAUGUAAUCAUGCCGUGUUGUUUAAAAGCUAAAUGCAAAUGCCUUUUCUUUUCA